rnacentral:misc_RNA from 1 species
GUGAGUCAUCGAAUCUUUGAACGCAUCUUGCACCCUUUGGUAUUCCAAAGGGUACACCCGUUUGAGUGUCAUUGUAAUCUCACCAUCCAACUUCUUGUUGGUGUUGUGGACUUGGAUGCUGCUGUUUUGCAACAGCUCAUCUGAAAUGACUCAGUGCACCCUGGAUUUACAGUGUGUUUGGUGUGAUAAAUCAUCACCAAGUUGACCUCAGGUCACAUUGUUACCAUGGCUCUGUGCUUCCAACUGUCUCUUGUGGACAAUCAUUGACAAUUUGACCUCAAAUCGGGUGGGACUACCCGCUGAACUUAAGCAUAUCAAUAAGCGGAGGA